rnacentral:ncRNA from 2 species
GGACAAAAAUGAUCAGAAAGUGCGCCCAAAGGCGGGCGGAAAAGGGAAUCAGGUGGAAGUCCUGAACGAUCCGGUCACUGUAAGCGGGAGCGAUAUCUUAUAAAGCCAUUGCCAGGAAGACGCCGCAGGAAGACGCGGCGCCGGUGAGAAGGAGAGAUAGAGCUGCGAACGUAAGUCAGGAAACCUGCUUUCUGAGACAGGGAGAG